rnacentral:rRNA from 1 species
AACGAACGCUGGCGGCGCGCCUAACACAUGCAAGUCGAACGAGAAGGCGUAGCAAUACGCUUGUAGAGUGGCGAACGGGUGAGUAAUACGUGGGUGACCUACCCUCGAGUGGGGAAUAACCCGCCGAAAGGCGGGCUAAUGCCGCGUACGCUUCCGUCCUCACGGGGACGGAAGGAAAGCUGUACCGUGGGUACGGCGCUCAAGGAUGGGCUCACGUCCUAUCAGCUUGUUGGUAGGGUAACGGCCACCAAGGCUACGACGGGUAGCUGGUCUGAGAGGACGAUCAGCCACACUGGCACUGCGACACGGGCCAGACUCCUACGGGAGGCAGCAGUGAGGAAUAUUGCGCAAUGGGCGAAAGCCUGACGCAGCGACGCCGCGGUGGGGAU